AACGAACGCUGGCGGCAGGCUUAACACAUGCAAGUCGAGCGCAUCCUUCGGGGUGAGCGGCAGACGGGUGAGUAACGCGUGGGAACAUGCCCAAAGGUACGGAACAACUCCGGGAAACUGGAGCUAAUACCGUAUGUGACCGAGAGGUGAAAGAUUUAUCGCCUUUGGAUUGGCCCGCGUUGGAUUAGCUAGUUGGUGGGGUAAAGGCCUACCAAGGCGACGAUCCAUAGCUGGUCUGAGAGGAUGAUCAGCCGCACUGGGACUGAGACACGGCCCAGACUCCUACGGGAGGCAGCAGUGGGGAAUAUUGGACAAUGGGCGCAAGCCUGAUCCAGCCAUGCCGCGUGAGUGAUGAAGGCCUUCGGGUUGUAAAGCUCUUUCGCACACGACGAUGAUGACGGUAGUGUGAGAAGAAGCCCCGGCUAACUUCGUGCCAGCCGCCGCGGUAACAC
rnacentral:rRNA from 1 species